GAUGAACGCUGGCGGCGUGCCUAAUACAUGCAAGUCGAGCGAACGGACGAGAAGCUUGCUUCUCUGAUGUUAGCGGCGGACGGGUGAGUAACACGUGGAUAACCUACCUAUAAGACUGGGAUAACUUCGGGAAACCGGAGCUAAUACCGGAUAAUAUUUUGAACCGCAUGGUUCAAAAGUGAAAGACGGUCUUGCUGUCACUUAUAGAUGGAUCCGCGCUGCAUUAGCUAGUUGGUAAGGUAACGGCUUACCAAGGCAACGAUGCAUAGCCGACCUGAGAGGGUGGUCGGCCACACUGGAACUUAGACACGGUCCAAGCUCCUACGGGAGGCAGCAGUAGGGAAUCUUCCGCAAUGGGCGAAAGCCUUACGGAGCAACGCCGCGUGAGUGAUGAAGGUCUUCGGAUCGUAAAACUCUGUUAUUAGGGAAGAACAUAUGUGUAAGUAACUGUGCACAUCUUGACGGUACCUAAUCAGAAAGCCACGGCUAACUACGUG
rnacentral:rRNA from 1 species